GAUCCUACGGGAGGCAGCAGUGGGGAAUAUUGGACAAUGGGGGGAACCCUGAUCCAGCGACGCCGCGUGAGUGAAGAAGUAUUUCGGUAUGUAAAGCUCUAUCAGCAGGGAAGAAAGAAAUGACGGUACCUGACUAAGAAGCACCGGCUAACUACGUGUCAGCAGCCGCGGUAAUACGUAGGGGGCAAGCGUUAUCCGGAUUUACUGGGUGUAAAGGGAGCGUAGACGGCGAUGCAGGGCUGAAGUGAAAGGCGGGGGCCCAACAC
rnacentral:rRNA from 1 species